rnacentral:rRNA from 1 species
GACGAACGCUGGCGGCGUGCCUAAUACAUGCAAGUCGAGCGGACGGAUGGGAGCUUGCUCCCAGACCGUCAGCGGCGGACGGGUGAGUAACACGUGGGCAACCUGCCUGUAAGACUGGGAUAACUCCGGAAAACCGGGCUAAUUACGGAAUACCUAUUUCCUCCCCUUGAGGGAAGGCGAAAAGUGGGCAUUCCGCAAUCACUUCCGACGGGGCCGGCGGCGCAUUAGCUAGUUGGUGGGGUAAGGGCUCACCAAGGCGACGAUGCGUAGCGGACCUGAGAGGGUGAUCGGCCACACUGGGACUGAGACACGGCCCAGACUCCUACGGGAGGCAGCAGUAGGGAAUCUUCCACAAUGGGCGAAAGUCUGACGGAGCAACGCCGCGUGAGUGAUGAAGGUUUUCGGAUCGUAAAGCCCUGUUGUCAGGGAAGAAAAAGUACCGGUGUAACUGCCGGUAUCUUGACGGUACCUGAAGAGAAAGCAACGGCUAACUACGUG